GAGGAUAAAAUAAAGUUCAUGGAGCAAAAAUUAAUCAUGAUGAUGGAGCGGCAACAAGUUGACACCUCAACAUGCACAAGUCAGGUUCACCCUCACUAUGCUCGGAACCUUGAUGAUCAACCCCUGCCUUGAGUUCAUCAUUUUGUAAGUUUUCUUAAAACAUUUCUUAAGUUUGGUUUGUAGUUUCCUUGACAAGAAUUUAUGCAAAGCAAUAGAAAGACAUGGAGAGGUUGAGUCAGUUAUGUAUUACUCACAUUGCAUGCAUGACUCUUUGCAUGUUUUUAUCUUCUUGGCAGUGUUGUGAUGAUCAUGUUUUUAUCUUCUUGGUAGUGUUAUGAUGUGCAUGUUUUUAUCUUCUUGGUAAUGUUGUGAUGAGUGAGUGUGUUCAUGCAGUAAAAGUUCGUGAUAUAAGCAAGGGAAAAAGGAUUGCAAUUUUGGGUAAGUAUCUUAUUGGCAGUGUGUUCAUGCAGUAUCUCUCAUUUUUCUUUUUUGGGAAAAUAUUGCAAUUUUGUGAGGUACGUAGAUAUAUAUGUUCUCUUCUCAUCCUCUGUGAAGACAGACAUACUGGGUUGUGACAUCUAUCUUUGCUUAAAACAUUUGGCAAGUGUCAUUGCCUUUCAAUGUUCAAUCACAAACUUCUUCAUUUUGGUGUAAUUAGAUUCACUGUGGAAAU
rnacentral:lncRNA from 1 species